AAACCUCUUCCCACCAGUUGGUGGGAGACUUGUCGGCUGUGCUGUCCCUCGGGGUGGUACUCUGAUCAAAGGCAGUAAGUCUGGACCGGCCGGUGGCCUGGGACAUUGUGUGCUAGAGACGUUUGCUUCGGCUGACAGUCUUCUCACAAGUGCGUCCUGGGCUAUUCAAAGCUAGCCUGGUCAGCAGGGCUUCCACAGUGGUCCUCCUCUGGAGGGCUACAACCCCCACA
rnacentral:misc_RNA from 1 species